GACGAACCGUGCGAACGUUGUUCGGAAUCACUGGGCUUAAAGGGCGCGUAGGCGGGCUGUCAAGUUUGGGGUGAAAUCCCGCGGCUCAACCGUGGAACUGCCUCAAAUACUGACGGCCUCGAGGAAGGUAGGGGCAUGCGGAACUGUAGGUGGAGCGGUGAAAUGCGUUGAUAUCUACAGGAACUCCGGUGGCGAAAGCGGCGUGCUGGACCUUUUCUGACGCUGAGGCGCGAAAGCUAGGGGAGCGAAUGGG
rnacentral:rRNA from 1 species